rnacentral:misc_RNA from 1 species
AACGCACAUUGCGCCCGCCAGUAUUCUGGCGGGCAUGCCUGUUCGAGCGUCAUUUCAACCCUCGGACCCCUCUCGUAGGGGGCCGGCGUUGGGGCUCGGGAGGACGCUACAGUCCCCCCGUCCCCUAAAUACAGUGGCGGUCCCGCCGCAGCCUCCUCUGCGUAGUAGCACACCUCGCAGCCCCGGAGCGCGGCGCGGCCACGCCGUAAAACCCCCAACUUAUACAAGGUUGACCUCGAAUCAGGUAGGAAUACCCGCUGAACUUAA